rnacentral:rRNA from 1 species
UGGGGAAUAUUGGACAAUGGGCGCAAGCCUGAUCCAGCCAUGCCGCGUGAGUGAUGAAGGCCUUAGGGUUGUAAAGCUCUUUCGUCCGGGACGAUAAUGACGGUACCGGAAGAAGAAGCCCCGGCUAACUUCGUGCCAGCAGCCGCGGUAAUACGAAGGGGGCUAGCGUUGUUCGGAAUCACUGGGCGUAAAGGGCGCGUAGGCGGCUUUAUAAGUCGGGGGUGAAAGCCUGUGGCUCAACCACAGAAUUGCCUUCGAUACUGUAGAGCUUGAGACCGGAAGAGGUAAGUGGAACUGCGAGUGUAGAGGUGAAAUUCGUAGAUAUUCGCAAGAACACCAGUGGCGAAGGCGGCUUACUGGUCCGGUUCUGACGCUGAGGCGCGAAAGCGUGGGGAGCAAACA